UAGCCUAAUGGUUAAGGCUAUGGAUCGCCAUUCCGGAGACGGCGGGUUCGAUUCCCGU
rnacentral:tRNA from 1 species